UAUCAAUAAGCGGAGGAAAAGAAACCAACAGGGAUUGCCCCAGUAACGGCGAGUGAAGCGGCAACAGCUCAAAUUUGAAAUCUGGCCCCCCGGCCCGAGUUGUAAUUUGCAGAGGAUGCUUUUGGUGAGGCACCUACCGAGUCCCCUGGAAUGGGGCGCCAUAGAGGGUGAGAGCCCCGUAUGGUAGGACGCCGAACCUCUGUAAAGCUCCUUCGACGAGUCGAGUAGUUUGGGAAUGCUGCUCUAAAUGGGAGGUAAAUUUCUUCUAAAGCUAAAUACCGGCCAGAGACCGAUAGCGCACAAGUAGAGUGAUCGAAAGAUGAAAAGCACUUUGAAAAGAGGGUUAAAAAGUACGUGAAAUUGUUGAAAGGGAAGCGCUUGUGACCAGACUUGCGCCGGGCGGAUCAUCCAGCGUUCUCGCUGGUGCACUCCGCCCGGUUCAGGCCAGCAUCGGUUUUCGCCGGGGGACAAAGGCUUCGGGAACGUGGCUCCUUUCGGGGAGUGUUAUAGCCCGUUGCGUAAUACCCCGGCGGGGACCGACGACCGCGCUUCGGCAAGGAUGCUGGCGUAAUGGUCAUCAGCGACCCGUCUUGAAACACGGACCGAGGAGUCAAGCAUUAGUGCGAGUGUUUGGGUGUAAAACCCGCACGCGUAAUGAAAGUGAACGUAGGUGAGAGCUUCGGCGCAUCAUCGACCGAUCCUGAUGUUUUCGGAAGGAUUUGAGUAGGAGCAUUAACGCUUGGACCCGAAAGAUGGUGAACUAUACUUGAAUAGGGUGAAGCCAGAGGAAACUCUGGUGGAGGCUCGCAGCGGUUCUGACGUGCAAAUCGAUCGUCAAAUUUGAGUAUAGGGGCGAAAGACUAAUCGA
rnacentral:rRNA from 1 species